GACGAACGCUGGCGGCGUGCUUAACACAUGCAAGUCGAGCGGUAAGGCCCUUUCGGGGUACGACGAGCGGCGAACGGGUGAGUAACACGUGGGUGACCUGCCCUCAGCUCUGGGAGUAAGCCUGGGAAACCGGGUCUAAUACUGGAUAUGACUCCAUGACGCAUGUUGUGGGGUGGAAAGCCUUGUGCGGCUGAGGAUGGGCCCGCGGCCUAUCAGCUUGUUGGUGGGGUGAGGCCUACCAAGGCGACGACGGGUAGCCGGCCUGAGAGGGCGACCGGCCACACUGGGACUGAGACACGGCCCAGACUCCUACGGGAGGCAGCAGUGGGGAAUCUUGCGCAAUGGGCGAAAGCCUGACGCAGCGACGCCGCGUGAGGGAUGACGGCCU
rnacentral:rRNA from 1 species